GUCCCCGAGGCCCCCAGUCCCCCAGCCCCCGCCACCCCAGCGCCGGCCCCACUCACCCUUUCAUUCUCCGCCCGCGGCCUGGCGUGGGCCGGCGGAUCCCCGGCCUCACAUCAGAGAGGCGCUGGCAGUGGACUAGGAAGCUCGGCUGAUAUUGCUCCCGCCCUGGGCUUCAGCGAGAAUCUUUCCCUGUCGAGCAAGAGGGGUGAGGAUCAUAUUUUUAUUUUGGAAACUAAAAAGUGUUCCCAGGGUCGGUGAUCAUUAAGGGGAAAUCCCUGAAUGUACUCUCCAGCCAAGAAGGCAGGGCUGCCCGCCUGCACUGGAAGAGGCAGCAGCCUCCUACAGCACCACUACAGGCACUGCGAGGACAUAACACGUAGAGCAGUUCCUCCGCUCUCCGAAACGACAACUUUCCUACCAUCUUGGAGGCAGAGAAAAGAGGGGCCAAGGGGAAAAGUGCACCGGCUCCGGAUAAAGUACAAAUUUCUACCUCUCGUCUCUGGAAAAAGUCCACACUCGCGGUCUACACCGGCGCCUAGGGGUCUGAAAAGCAGGGAAGAAAUCAGAAACGAGUUCCUUUGCUCCGUGGGGGGCAGCAAUGUUUCUGCACCUUCUGAUGGAAAGAAAUCUUUACAAGACACAGGUUUUACGAUAUUAUUGUUUUCCAUUUUAGCUUUUUUUCCAUGAUGGUAACAGUGGUAGCUUAGUUUAUUUCUUUCAGGCUAAUAAUGAUUUUUCUCUAUGGCAGGUCCAAACUCUGUCUCUGGUGGUCAGUCUUGUAAAUUGGCACCUCAGAGAUGUAAGGUCACUUUAUUGUGUUUACUUUAUUGCCUGUUUAGAUUGUGUGUAUGCGUGCUUAUGUUUUCAUGGGUUACAGCUAAGAGUUUGUGGUUUUGGUAUCCAGGAAACUGAGGAUGCUACAAGUCAAUUCUAAAGAGAUGUCUUUUGUUUUCUCUCAAAGCAAUAUAAGUGAAGCCUAUUGGCUGUCCAGAAAGGCAUAAUACAGCUGUUUGUUUUUCACAGUGCAAAUAAAAGCACCGUGCAAAUAAAAUCUCCUUACAGCAGACCAAGCCUGUGAUGGUCUGUCUGCCCAGGAAGAAAGAUGACUCUUGUUACCAUACCAGUAGAUUGAAAGAUGCUUUGGAUUUUCUUUCAGUGAAAUAGUUUAUUAAGAAUUACA